UGCUUUGGUUGUACAAGGUUUAUGCCUCCACCUUUCUUUUAUGGAAUAAAUAUGUUUGUUCUAUAGUUCAUUUUGAAGUAUAAGAAGGUUAUAAUUUUGUCCAAAUAUAGUGGAUACUAACACAAUUAUAAAAUGUCUCCAUUGUUACUUGAAGAAAGCAUAAUAUGGCAGUUCGGAUUAUAAGCUUAAUUUAGGUAAUUACUGAUUGGAUGUCAUGUUGUGCAGAAUGUUUUGAUUGACACAGUACUUGAACUUGGAAUAAGAGUGACUGUAGCAAUGGGAACCAAUCGCAAUUUAGACGCUAGUAAUAAAUAAUUUUUUGUUCUUUUUGUUGUUUCUUCUUUUUGUUUUGUUUUGUUUU